rnacentral:antisense_RNA from 1 species
CUUCACCGACCCCAGGUACAGCGGGGCCUCCCGGUCCCGCCCGUAGGUCGCGAGCAGCGCCUGCGCCUC